GCCUAACUGGCUCAGUUGGUGGAGCAUGUGAUUCUUGAUCUAAAGGUCAUGAGUUCAAGCCCCAUGUUGGGUA
rnacentral:tRNA from 1 species